AUAUUAGAUUGAUGACUAGGUCCAAAUGAUUGAUGGACAUUGGAUGGGUUGUUCUUGGGAUUUGCUAUCGGUUGGCUCGGUAAUUGAUCUAGUUCUCUCCUUAUAGUGGACUCAGCUAACUGUCCUAUUUAUACUUUUAACUUGAUGAUGGAUUGCUGUUGGAUCAUAAUCAGUUAUUGAAGUUGAGUAAACCUAUCGUCGGCUAGAUUAGUCUGUUGAGGAGGUGAGUAUGAUGGCUGGAUAGGCUAAUUAGACUGACCUCUAUUAUAGACGUAAUUCUGGUAUUGGGGCCUAUUUUGAAAGUUUUGUACAGGAAGAAUUUGGGUCUAAGUCUGAGUUUGUUGGGAUUUUCAAGAAAAAUUGGGAUGGUUCCUCCAACAUGGAUUAUAUAUAUUUAUGAAUAGAUCAUUAACCGACUUAGAGUAGCUUUGUGCAGCUUGAAC
rnacentral:lncRNA from 1 species